rnacentral:rRNA from 1 species
AUUGAACGCUGGCGGCAGGCCUAACACAUGCAAGUCGAGCGGAUGAAGGGAGCUUGCUCCUGGAUUCAGCGGCGGACGGGUGAGUAAUGCCUAGGAAUCUGCCUGGUAGUGGGGGAUAACGUCCGGAAACGGGCGCUAAUACCGCAUACGUCCUGAGGGAGAAAGUGGGGGAUCUUCGGACCUCACGCUAUCAGAUGAGCCUAGGUCGGAUUAGCUAGUUGGAGGGGUAAGGCCUACCAAGGCGACGAUCCGUAACUGGUCUGAGAGGAUGAUCAGUCACACUGGAACUGAGACACGGUCCAGACUCCUACGGGAGGCAGCAGUCGGGAAUAUUGGACAAUGGGCGAAAGCAUGAUCCAGCCAUGCCGCGUGUGUGAAGAAGGUCUUCGGAUUGUAAAGCACUUUAAGUUGGGAGGAAGGGCAGUAAGUUAAUACCUUGCUGUUUUGACGUUACCAGCAGAAUAAGCACCGGCUAACUUCGUG